rnacentral:rRNA from 1 species
UACGUAGGGUCCGAGCGUUGUCCGGAUUUAUUGGGCGUAAAGAGCGUGUAGGCGGCUAGGUAGGUCCGUUGUGAAAACUCGAGGCUCAACCUCGAGACGUCGAUGGAAACCAUCUAGCUAGAGUCCGGAAGAGGAGAGUGGAAUUCCUGGUGUAGCGGUGAAAUGCGCAGAUAUCAGGAAGAACACCCGUGGCGAAGGCGGCUCUCUGGUACGUGACUGACGCUGAGGAGCGAAAGCGUGGGGAGCGAACAGG